rnacentral:rRNA from 1 species
GAUGAACGCUGGCGGCGUGCUUAACACAUGCAAGUCGAACGAAGCACUUUAUUUGAUUUCCUUCGGGACUGAUUAUUUUGUGACUGAGUGGCGGACGGGUGAGUAACGCGUGGGUAACCUGCCUUGUACAGGGGGAUAACAGUUGGAAACAGCUGCUAAUACCGCAUAAGCGCGCAGCAUCGCAUGAUGCAGUGUGAAAAACUCCGGUGGUAUAAGAUGGACCCGCGUUGGAUUAGCUAGUUGGUGAGGUAACGGCCCACCAAGGCGACGAUCCAUAGCCGACCUGAGAGGGUGACCGGCCACAUUGGGACUGAGACACGGCCCAAACUCCUACGGGAGGCAGCAGUGGGGAAUAUUGCACAAUGGGCGAAAGCCUGAUGCAGCGACGCCGCGUGAGCGAAGAAGUAUUUCGGUAUGUAAAGCUCUAUCAGCAGGGAAGAUAAUGACGGUACCUGACUAAGAAGCACCGGCUAAAUACGUG